rnacentral:rRNA from 1 species
AUUUUUGUCAAUUGGGGAAACCCUGAUUCAGCCAUCCCGCGUGUAUGAUGGAGGCCUUCGGGUUGUAAAGUACUUUUGGCAGAGAAGAAAAGGUAUCUCCUAAUACGAGAUACUGCUGACGGUAUCUGCAGAAUAAGCACCGGCGAACUACGUGCCAGAAGCCGCGGUAAUAAGGAGGGAGCAAGCGUUAAUCGGCAUUACUGGGCGUAAAGCGUGUGUAGGAGGUUCGGAAAGAAAGAUGUGAAAGCCCAGGGCUCAAUCUUGGAACUGCAUUUUUAACUGCCGAGCUAGAGUAUGUCAGAGGGGGGUAGAGUUCCACGUGUAGCAGUGAAAUGCGUAGAUAUGUGGAGGAAUACCGAUGGCGAAGGCAGCCCCCUGGGAUAAUACUGACGCUCAGACACGAAAGCGUGGGGAGCAAACAG